CCAAAUAAUUUUAUAUUUACUAUAUGAAAAGUGCUAAUAAAUGGCUGAAAUUUUCAAAUUUGUUUAUAAAUGGAUCCUUUUUGUUUCCCUAUUUCUUGUUAUAGUUGCCAAGGAAGACGAUAUAGAGUGUGUUACUGAUGCCGAUUGUUAUGAAAAACUUCCGGCUCUUCAACGCGCAGUUAUGAAGUGCAUUCAAGGUUUUUGUAAAAUACAUAUCUAGUUAAGACUAUCCUUAAGACGAGACUGUGUAGUAUCAAGGUGUUUGUUGAUGAGAAUAAAAUGGAUUAUAAUUCUCUCGCCCACAUCAUGAUUUUCUUGAAAUUUUAUCAUAUUAUUUCUUAUAUUUAAAUAGGGUUUAAGGCUUCAAUAUUGUAACAUCGAUGCUGAAUAAUUGGUCUUCAUUUAUUUCAUUGGAUCUUGAGAAAAUAUUACAUAUAUUAUUUUAUUACGAGGAUAAUUGUAAGACCUUUAAGAAGUCAAAAUAAUUUAUUUUGGAUGAUGACAUUAA